GUAGGUGGCAAGCGUUGUCCGGAAUUAUUGGGCGUAAAGCGCGCGCAGGCGGUUCUUUAAGUCUGAUGUGAAAGCCCACGGCUCAACCGUGGAGGGUCAUUGGAAACUGGAGAACUUGAGUACAGAAGAGGAAAGCGGAAUUCCACGUGCAGCGGUGAAAUGCGUAGAGAUGUGGAGGAACACCAGUGGCGAAGGCGGCUUUCUGGUCUGUAACUGACGCUGAGGCGCGAAAGCGUGGGGAGCAAACAGGAUUAGAUACCCUGGUAGUCCACGCCGUAAACGAUGAGUGCUAAGUGUUAGGGGGUUUCCGCCCCCCUUAGUGCUGCAGCUAACGCAUUAAGCACACCGCCUGGGAGUACGGCCGCAAGGCUG
rnacentral:rRNA from 1 species